GAAGACGGCCAUAGUAACGAGGAAACGCCUGUUCCCAUUCCGAACACAGAUAGCUAAGCUCGUUACGUCUGCUGCGUUAGUCUCCCACAAGAGGCGAAGCACAGAUGCUGUCCUCA
rnacentral:rRNA from 1 species